UUUAGAAGUUUGAAUCAUGCUCAGGAUGAACGCUGGCGGCGUGCCUAAUACAUGCAAGUCGAGCGAACGGACGAGAAGCUUGCUUCUCUGAUGUUAGCGGCGGACGGGUGAGUAACACGUGGAUAACCUACCUAUAAGACUGGGAUAACUUCGGGAAACCGGAGCUAAUACCGGAUAAUAUUUUGAACCGCAUGRUUCAAAAGUGAAAGACGGUCUUGCUGUCACUUAUAGAUGGAUCCGCGCUGCAUUAGCUAGUUGGUAAGGUAACGGCUUACCAAGGCAACGAUGCAUAGCCGACCUGAGAGGGUGAUCGGCCACACUGGAACUGAGACACGGUCCAGACUCCUACGGGAGGCAGCAGUAGGGAAUCUUCCGCAAUGGGCGAAAGCCUGACGGAGCAACGCCGCGUGAGUGAUGAAGGUCUUCGGAUCGUAAAACUCUGUUAUUAGGGAAGAACAUAUGUGUAAGUAACUGUGCACAUCUUGACGGUACCUAAUCAGAAAGCCACGGCUAACUACGUGCCAGCAGCCGCGGUAAUACGUAGGUGGCAAGCGUUAUCCGGAAUUAUUGGGCGUAAAGCGCGCGUAGGCGGUUUUUUAAGUCUGAUGUGAAAGCCCACGGCUCAACCGUGGAGGGUCAUUGGAAACUGGAAAACUUGAGUGCAGAAGAGGAAAGUGGAAUUCCAUGUGUAGCGGUGAAAUGCGCAGAGAUAUGGAGGAACACCAGUGGCGAAGGCGACUUUUUGGUCUGUAACUGACGCUGAUGUGCGAAAGCGUGGGGAUCAAACAGGAUUAGAUACCCUGGUAGUCCACGCCGUAAACGAUGAGUGCUAAGUGUUAGGGGGUUUCCGCCCCUUAGUGCUGCAGCUAACGCAUAAGCACUCCCCCCCC
rnacentral:rRNA from 1 species